UUUUUAGUGUAAGUAUGUCCCGUGUGACAUUUGGUACAUACUUAUACUAAAA
rnacentral:pre_miRNA from 1 species